rnacentral:rRNA from 1 species
CCCUUAGAUGUUCUGGGCCGCACGCGCGCUACACUGAUGCAUUCAACGAGUCUAAAACCUGCUCUGAUAGGGGUGGGUAAUCUUUUGAAUGUGCAUCGUGAUUGGGAUAGAUGAUUGCAAUUUUUCAUCUUCAACGAGGAAUGCCUAGUAAACGCAAGUCAUCAGCUUGCAUUGAUUACGUCCCUGCCCUUUGUACACACCGCCCGACGCUCCUACCGAUUGAAUGAUCCGAUGAAUAUCAUGGAUUGAGGAUGCAAGCAGGUUCGCCUGUCUUCAUCUUCGAGAAGUGAAGUAAAUCUUAUCAUUUAGAGGAAGGAGAAGUCGUAACA